GUAGGUGGCAAGCGUUGUCCGGGAAUUAUUGGGCGUAAAGCGCGCGCAGGUGGUCUUUAAGUCUGAUGUGAAAGACCCCCGGGCUCAACCGGGGAGGGUCAUUGGAAACUGGGGAACUUGAGUGCAGGAGAGGAAAGUGGAAUUCCACGUGUAGCGGUGAAAUGCGUAGAUAUGUGGAGGAACACCAGUGGCGAAGGCGACUUUCUGGCCUGUAACUGACACUGAGGCGCGAAAGCGUGGGGAGCAAACAGGAUUAGAUACCCUGGUAGUCCACGCCGUAAACGAUGAGUGCUAAGUGUUGGGGGGGUUUCCGCCCCUCAGUGCUGCAGCUAACGCAUUAAGCACUCCGCCUGGGGAGUACGGUCGCAAAGACUG
rnacentral:rRNA from 1 species